rnacentral:rRNA from 1 species
GAGCGAGAAGCAGGAGCAAUCUUGUGAGUAAAGCGGCGUACGGGUGAGUAACACGUGGAUUAUCUACCUCUUUGUGGGGGAUAACCCUGGGAAACCGGGGCUAAUACCGCAUAAGUUCGAGAGAAGAAAGCAGCAAUGCGCAGAGAGAGGAGUCCGCGGCCGAUUAGUUAGUUGGCAGGGUAAAAGCCUACCAAGACAAAGAUCGGUAGCCGGCCUGAGAGGGCACACGGCCACACUGGCACUGAAACACGGGCCAGACUCCUACGGGAGGCAGCAGUGGGGAAUCUUGCACAAUGGGGGCAACCCUGAUGCAGCGACGCCGCGUGAGCGAUGAAGCCCUUCGGGGUGUAAAGCUCUUUCGGCAGGGAAGAUUAUGACGGUACCUGCAGAAGCAGCUGCGGCUAACUACGUGCCAGCAGCCGCGGUAAUACGUAGGCAGCAAGCGUUGUUCGGAGUUACUGGGCGUAAAGGGUGUGUAGGCGGUUCUCUAAGUUUGGUGUGAAAUCUCCCGGCUCAACUGGGAGGGUGCGCCGAAAACUGGGGGGCUAGAGUACUGGAUGGGAGAGUGGAAUUCCUGGUGUAGCGGUGAAAUGCGUAGAUAUCAGGAGGAACACCUGUGGUGUAGACGGCUCUCUGGACAGUAACUGACGCUGAGACACGAAAGCGUGGGUAGCAAACAGGAUUAGAUACCCUGGUAGUCCACGCCCU